CCAUCUGAGGCGUGAUUAUUGCUGGUUGAAAACUUAACCCAAUACCCCGCUUGGGGCGACUUCAAAUAUAGUCAUCCCUGGCAAUAUUUGAUAAUCUCAUGUGAGA
rnacentral:snRNA from 8 species